CCCCAUCGAUCUCGCCCCUCGCCUGCCGCAUCGCUUUCACCUCCUCCUCAACUGCCGGCCUCCCCCCGUGCUCGGUAGGAGUGCGGGCCCCACCCUCGCGCGCGCUCCAGCGGCCGCUGUCACGCGCACGCUCGCGAGGCACCCUCUCCCUCUCUCCAACCACCGACGCGACACGCCCCGCCACCGGAAGCUCUCAACCCACGGACGGACGGACAACAGCCCGCCUCCUCGGCCUCGCGCAGCGGCACACCGCGCCUGCGGAAGCGCGACUCGUCGGUGCCCUCCACCCCGAGCGCGGGCGCCCGCGGCGUCGGGAGGCGGACCACGUUCCGGGAGGACGUCGGCCAUGCGCCGCCGAGACCUACCUCGUCACGCGCCUCGCCUUCAUCCUCCUCCUCUCCCUCGGGUAACUACUGCGGGGCACCAGCGACCCUCGAUCACCCCUCCCUCUUCCUCGCCCAUGAGGGUUAGGCUUCAAUGUUGGUGUCACACCAUCGCAUUGAUCCACUGUAUGUGCGACAGACUUUGCAUAGUUUUGUGAUGAUUUGGCCUCGAACAGGAGUAUGAUUGGCAUCACACUGCACACAAAUUUCUCUGGUGGGCACGUCUAAUCGUCAGAGGAGAUCACCCAUGUGAACUUAUUCCUAAUUGAUUUAGCCUUCUGUGCAAUAUCUCUUCCUGUAGACCAGCGAUUAGCUUAUGAUAAUCUGCGUUUCUCAGCGCAAGUUCAUUGCAGUGGCGCCACACGUUUUCAGUUAAUUUUCAGUGAAUUUAACCUUCAGUGUUUUUUUCUUCUGUUUUGUACGCACGCUUCAUAUUUCCUAAUAUACAAUGACUGCCUAUAAUCUAUUCACCAAAACGUCCAAGUGCAUAUAUGAUAUAUUUUCCCAAAAGAAGCUUCUAUAUGAUUGAGCUUGCCCUUUUUCUAUGGAUAUUUUUGAUACUUCCUUUAUUUGUUUUCAGGGUAGGCUCUCCGUGGAUAUGUCGACUUCUUGCGGUCCUAAUAUAUGUGGUUUUACUUAUGCCUGAUUUCAUAAGAGGGCGUGGGGUGGUCUUCUUGGAAGACGGUUAGCGGAGCGUGGAAUUAUAGUCACUUGCAUUGAUUAUAGAAAUUCCCCCCAAGGAACAACAAGUGGCAUGGUCAGUGAUGCUUCUGAGGCAAUUUCAUUUAUUUGUGAUACUAUUGUUAGCUAUGGAGGAACUAUGCGCCGCACUUGAAUAUCUGAUCCUUUUGGGCGGUGAUUCUAUCCAAAGUCACUGUUGUGACGUCGGUGAGCAACCUCGGGCAUCACACUGGGUACUAUCGCCUCCCCACCACUCAUGACGCCAGGCUGUUCUACUUCUUUGAAUUCAGGCGGCACAAGAAGGAGGACCAGGUGGUGAUCUGGCUGACGGGAGGACCUGGCUACUGCAGCAAGCUAGCCCUCUUCUACGAGAAUGGCCCCUUCCACAUAGCAGACAACAUUUUUUUUUGAAACAAGGCAAAAGAUUUGCCAUUUUCAUUGAAUAAGAGAGAAGUUUUAACAGGUACCCGCAAGGCGGGGGAAUGGAGUCUACUCUCGCGGCAUUACAUUACACAGGUGUCUAGCGCCUGCAAGCGCCCAAAUACGAGCCUCCUCCUUUAUCCUAGCAGUGACCAUGGUCACCGUGGUAGCGACAUUCCUAAAAACUCUUGCAUUGCGCUCAUUCCAGAGUUUCCAUGAAACAAGCAUGAGCAUGGAGGCCAGAGCCUUCCUCGGGGGCCCCCUAUCUAGGAUAGUCUUGAACCACCAUUCCUUUACAGAAAUCUCGUGAUGCCAGCCUGCAGUGAUAGCACUGUUUACGCCGAUCCAUGAAGCCACAUCAGCCCAAACGCGUUGGGAAAAUCUGCAUUGGAAUAGGAGAUGUGGUGCAGAUUCAGUAACUUGCUUGCAUAAAGGGCAAAGCCCACAAUUGGGCCAGCCCCGACGCUGCAGCCUGUCCGUUGUCCAAACACGAUUCUGGAUGACGAGCCAAGCAAAAAACUUGCACUUGGGAGGAGCUGUUCAUGCUGCUCCUGAGAUGGCCCUCGAACGGCGCCAUGUAGGCCGAAGAAGCGGAAUACUUGCCACUUGUAGUGAGCUUUCAUAGGAUAGUAUCACGGACACCGGCAACAAGGUUGAUCCCAGACACCUUUUCUCAAAAGAGGGCGAACUCCUGGAUGUGCCCCAAGGAUAGGCCGUGUUGGGUGUUUAUUUGGCUGACCCAAAAAUCGUUCAGGAAUGCCUUUUGGACUGUAUAGCAGACAAUAUGUCGCUACUCUGGAAUGAGUUUGGCUAGGAUCAGGUAUAUUAUAUAUACUGACAGUUUGUAUACUAAUCAAUCAAUCUGUAUAAUAUUUUUCUUAGAGAUUGUUUAGACCUGUAUAAUCUUCUCUCUGUUUGGAAUUGGAUAUUGGCUACUGCAGGAGUCGAAUCUUUAUCUAUGUUGAUCAGCCAACUGCACUAUUCUCAGGGUCGUCGAAUACAUCCUGUAACCCCACAUAAAUGGUUAGGAACCAGAUAAAUUUUAUUUAUCAUGUAACCCCAGUGUUAGGCACCAUGUCUGUCGCGACAUCUCCGUGUCGUCGGAGGGCGGGAGCACCAACGGCUCGUUGCUGGGGCUUUCCCCCAUGGUCGAGGAGGACAACGAGUCCUGCCCCUUCAGCGGUUGUUGCUGAAUUACAGUCACGGCGGUUGCUGUAUGUCCCAAUGUCAAAGGUUCGACAUUUGUUGCUGCUGAAUUAUGAAUUCUCAUCCUAUUUUCGUGUUGUUGAAUGCUGAAUUCUGGCGAGCAGCUCCUCGGGUCGCCAGGCUUCUGGUGAAGAUCUUCUUGUGGGUCCUCGAGAUGCCGGUGGUGGGCUGGGUCCUGCUUUACAUCCUCAAGGAUAAUCUGUAAUACUUCAUCAUCAACAAGGUGCAUUUGAGAUGAACUCUGAAUGUGAUGAAUGCUUUCUUAUGACUGUGCCUCGCAAUCCCGAUUCCCAUUUCAACAAGCCAGUACCUUGUUCUGUUUUGUUUCUAUAGAUAGAUCAGAUUCAUCAAGCCAGUACCUUGUUCUAUUUAUAUAUAUACAGUCUGUGGGUAGAUUGAUCAACCAUUCAUGUUUAUUCCUAUAGGCUCUAACUUGACAAAUUCGGUUAACUUAAUCUGAAUAAUUCAGUCAACUUAAUCUGAAUAAUUCAGUUAACCUAAUCUGAAUAAUUCAGUUAACCUGAUCUGAAUAAUUCAGAUAACUUGGAGCAAUAUUCAGUCAGAAAUCAGUAGCAACAUUGUCAGAUUGGAAUCGUGUCAUAAAACUGAAGAUUAUCACUGAAGUUUCCAAAAUUGGAGCCUGUCAAACUAUCACUGAAGUUUAACCGAAUUCAUCUAGAUAACUGAAUUUUUAUCUUUUUUCUCUUCCUGUAGUAGCUGAUGGAGUACAGUAGCUGACAUUUUUAUUUACUCCAUUGAGACUAUAAAUUGAGUAGGAGUACAGUAGCAAGGCACUGUAAAUUGAUGGAGUACAGUAGUAAGGCACUGUAAAUUGAUCAGAAUUUUUUUGUUAGAAUCUGGGAGUCAUACAUGACCUGUAGAACAUCUAAAGUUCUGUUAGAACAAUCUGUAGUUCAAGGUUUGGUCUUCGGCCUUCUGUUGCAGCAUGUGGCGCUCAACAUGACUUGCGAACAUUUGGUUAGUUCUGUCUAUAUCUCUGAACAUACGAGCACUAUGCAAUUUUAGUACCCCUGAACAUAUAAGCAACAGUGUCUUAUUUUGAACAACAGUAUCUGGCAUGGAGUAUGUCCAGAUAGCAUGCCUUGCUAAAGAGAUAGCAUGCCUUGCCGUAGGGAUAUCAUUAAAGUUCAGAAAUUUGGAGUAAAUGUUCUCUCUAAUGGAGUGACAAAAGAUAAACUAGAGAGUUGUCUGUGUUGAAUAUCAAAUGAGUAACCUAGCCUGAACAUGACACAAACAUACACAAUAAACUCAAAUAAUUCCAAAUUAAUACUCCAAUAUAAUCUUAAAAAGAACCAUUAUUUACUGAUCUAGAUAUAACAACAACAACAACAACAACAACAAAGCCAAAUUGUUACAUCUUGCAUCUAGAUAAUCUGUACAAAUUGUUGAUGUUUUCCGGUGUACUGAGUAUGUUCACAUAACUGCAGUUCAAUUUCAGUUUUAGUGGAGAAACUUCAGUUUUGGAGAUUAUUUAGGAACACAAUCUCCAAUAAAUGAAACUAAAGUGCAGUCCAUCUUCACCUUUCCUUGCUUCCUUGUUUUGAUUUUAUUGUAAAUAAAUAAGUUUUCAUUUCAUUUGGUUUGCUUGUGUCAAGGAAAGGAAACAAGGAUCCAUCCAGUGAGUGAGAUCAUCGCCACACACACUAUGUUUUACAAGGAACACACACACACAACAAGGAAUUCAUGUCAACAGAGUAAGUGAUACCAUAUUCCCAUUGGAUUGAGAUAUCUCUUUUUUUCCAGUAUUAAAAGCAUGUGGACAUUGUUGUCACAAAAUCACAUGGAGAAAUCUUG